UUUCCUUCUAACUAUAUCACUAUUGCUAGAAGUUUUUGUACUAUAACAUAAUUAUGCAACUCGUGAUAAUGCUGAAAUCCUACAUAUGACAGUUUCUUGAAAUUUUACAUAACGCAUUAUGUAAGACGUCUACUGUUUUUAGUCAUAAGAUAUCUCAUAAAAUUGUUAUGAUAUAGAAUUAUUGUUGAAUGCUGGAUUGUUAGACUUUUGGAUGAACACGCCUUUGGUUGCAAUUUUUUUGCACACUUUGUAGCAACCAUGCAGAGGGAUAGGAACUGGAAGCACUCUCCGCUUCCAUGAGGUGCCCAGAUUGGCAGGGUUCAGGCAUGAAAGUGAUUAUUCCAUCAGCUGGGUCAAUUCCUAUCAUGUGUGUUGUCUCCUAGGUCUGGGUCAAGUCAUAUUUUGUGUGUUGAUUUAAUUUUAUCGAAGGUGUAGGAUCAACAAAAACAACGAUAGCAAGACAUGGACACACCGAAGAGGGGGUAAUUAUGUUGUUGUGUCAUCGGUACUUUAUCUGUGAGUGUGAUUUCUAUUUAUUACAUAGUUUUAUGUCUGUAUAAAACUAAUGAUUUAAUCAUAGGUUUUCGUUCAUGAUUUUGAACCUUUAGUGAUAAUGUACUGCAUUCUUGGUGAUAACUGAAUAUAAUGCUUUAUGCAUUUUCAUUAAUCAGAUAGCACUAAUGAUUUAAUCCUUGUUACCUGCAGGAUACAUAACUUGACGGUACUGGCUAUUGUGAAAAAUCAUCUAGAGAAUACACGUCCUUGACAGAUCAAAAUACUCUUCUCUCCAACAUACUACAUCUUUGAUAAGAUAGAAAAUACAUAACUUGACAGUUCAAAAUAAGGUGCAGAAAUACUCUUCUCUCCAACGCACUACAGCUUUGAAAUACUCUUUUUUCUUGUUUGAUAAGGAAACUGUUCAAUAGGAUGCUUUGAUAUGUUCUGGUACAUUUGGCCAUGAGCACGAAAAGUGUAGAUAGGAUGCCUUUCCGUCAAAAGUACAUCACUUUCCGUCAUCGCUUCCAUGGGAACAUCACUUGAGCUCAUCUAUGUCAAGGUGUUGGGCUAUCGUCAUGGUCUGCCGUCUUGGAGAAGGAUUGAUGUGCCGUCAUUAAGACAUCAAAUAUUUUAGCCUCCAAUUGUAUGACAGAUUGAAUGGGAUAUGGUAGCGACGCGGCCCAUAAUGGCUGACGAAAGCCCGUUCGUGAUUAGCUAUGGUUGACGAAAGAUUAUGGCAGAAAACGGAGGAAGUUCCUUCUUUUUAUAUAGUAGAGAUUUU